GAGUUUGAUCAUGGCUCAGGAUGAACGCUGGCGGCGUGCUUAACACAUGCAAGUCGAACGGAGUAAAGAUUUUGAUUUCUAACGAUUGAGAGGUCUUUACUUAGUGGCGGACGGGUGAGUAACGCGUGGAUAACCUGCCCCAGUACCGGGGAUAACAGCCGGAAACGGCUGCUAAUACCGCAUAAGCGCACGAGGCUGCAUGGCCCUGUGUGAAAAACUCCGGUGGUAUGGGAUGGAUCCGCGUCUGAUUAGCUAGUUGGUGAGAUAGAAGCCCACCAAGGCGACGAUCAGUAGCCGACCUGAGAGGGUGGCCGGCCACAUUGGGACUGAGACACGGGCCCAGACUCCUACGGGAGGCAGCAGUGGGGAAUAUUGCACAAUGGGGGAAACCCUGAUGCAGCGACGCCGCGUGAGUGAAGAAGUAAUUCGUUAUGUAAAGCUCUAUCAGCAGGGAAGAAAACAGACGGUACCUGAGUAAGAAGCCCCGGCUAACUACGUGCCA
rnacentral:rRNA from 1 species